UCUUUGUGACUGGCAUAUUUCACUUAGUAAUAUCUUCACGUUUCAUCCAUGCAGUAGCAUGUGUCAGAAUUUCCUUCCUUUUUAAGGCUGAAUAAUGCUCCAUUGUAUGUACA